UCCCUUGUAGCUCAGUUGGUAAAGCAUCUGCCUGCAAUGCAGAAGACCUGGGUUCGAUUCCUUGGUCGGGAA
rfam:Ovis aries breed Texel chromosome 3, whole genome shotgun sequence.